rnacentral:rRNA from 1 species
UACAGAGGGUGCGAGCGUUGUCCGGAAUCACUGGGCGUAAAGGGCGCGUAGGUGGCUUGCCAAGCGUGUGGUGAAAGCCCGGAGCUCAACUCCGGGUCUGCCAUGCGAACUGGCAGGCUAGAGCACGGUAGAGGCCAAUGGAAUUCCGGGUGUAGCGGUGGAAUGCGUAGAGAUCCGGAAGAACACCAAUGGCGAAAGCAGCUCUCUGGGACGGUACUGACGCUGAGACGCGAAAGCGUGGGGAGCGAGCAGG